UGGGGUUGUUAAUAGGGAAUUUCUUUGGCAGCGGAACAAUGAUGGAAGCCUUCAGACAGGAUGGAAUAGUGGACUGGGAUAAAGACCAAUUAAAAAUCUUAGUGAAAACCCCAGCCAACUGAUCAGCACAGUCUUUAAGCACCCGGCCAGAGAUGCCAUCAGGUCCGGCAGCCUUUCUAGGGCCCACAGCCCUCAAAAUACUCCUCCCCUUGUGCUCCUCCACGGUGAGGCAGGGGCUAUAUUGGACCAAUGGCUGUACUCUAGCUGCCUCUGGUGGCUCCACUUCAAAAGGG